rnacentral:lncRNA from 1 species
GUCUGGUUGGGUAAGAAUUCUACCAAUAAAUUAUAAAUUUUGGAAUUAUGGUGAAGUUAUCUCAAAACAGAAACAGCAAGAAUAUGAGAGUACAAUGUUAAUGCAGAAUACAGCCAGAUGAAUAAAGGUCUGUGAUGAGUAGUCAUGCAAAUAUGGAAGUGGUUGCUCCAAAUUAAUCAAAGUGGAGGGCAAACUUUUUGUGAGUUAUGUUAGAAAGAUAU